AUACGUAGGUGGCAAGCGUUGUCCGGAAUUACUGGGUGUAAAGGGCGUGUAGGCGGGGAUGCAAGUCAGAUGUGAAAGCCCAUGGCUCAACUGUGGGACUGCAUCUGAAACUGUAUCUCUUGAGUGCUGGAGAGGAAAGCGGAAUUCCUAGUGUAGCGGUGAAAUGCGUAGAGAUUAGGAAGAACACCAGUGGCGAAGGCGGCUUUCUGGACAGUAACUGACGCUGAGGCGCGAAAGCGUGGGUAGCAAACAGGAUUAGAUACCCUGGUAGUCCACGCCGUAAACGAUGGAUACUAGGUGUAGGGGGUAUCGACCCCUUCUGUGCCGGAGUUAACACAAUAAGUAUCCCACCUGGGGAGUACGACCGCAAGGUUGAA
rnacentral:rRNA from 1 species